rnacentral:tRNA from 1 species
GGAGUUGUAGCUCAGUGGCAGAGUGCUCACCUAGCACAUGUGAGACCCUGAGUUUAAUUCUCAAUACCUCAU